rnacentral:rRNA from 1 species
AGGUAAGCUACUAAGAGCGAAUGGUGGAUGCCUUGACUGGUAAAGGCGAUGAAGGACGUACUAGACUGCGAUAAGCUACGGGGAGCUGUCAAGAAGCUUUGAUCCGUAGAUUUCCGAAUGGGGCAACCCAAUGUAUAGAGAUAUACAUUACCUAUAUAGGAGCGAACGAGGGGAAUUGAAACAUCUUAGUACCCUCAGGAAAAGAAAUCAAUAGAGAUUGCGUCAGUAGCGGCGAGCGAAAGCGCAAGAGGGCAAACCCAGUGCUUGCACUGGGGGUUGUAGGACUGCAAUGUGCAAGAGGUAAGUUUAGCAGAACAUUCUGGAAAGUAUAACCAUAGAGGGUGAUAGUCCCGUAUGCGAAAAACAAACCUUAGCUAGCAGUAUCCUGAGUAGGGCGGGACACGAGGAAUCCUGUCUGAAUCUGGGUCGACCACGAUCCAACCCUAAAUACUAAUACCAGAUCGAUAGUGCACAAGUACCGUGAGGGAAAGGUGAAAAGAACUGAGGUGAUCAGAGUGAAAUAGAACCUGAAACCAUUUGCUUACAAUCAUUCAGAGCCCUAUGUAGCAAUACAGGGUGAUGGACUGCCUUUUGCAUAAUGAGCCUGCGAGUUGUGGUGUCUGGCAAGGUUAAGCAAACGCGAAGCCGUAGCGAAAGCGAGUCUGAAUAGGGCGCUUAGUCAGAUGCUGCAGACCCGAAACGAAGUGAUCUAUCCAUGAGCAAGUUGAAGCUAGUGUAAGAACUAGUGGAGGACUGAACCCAUAGGCGUUGAAAAGCCCCGGGAUGACUUGUGGAUAGGGGUGAAAGGCCAAUCAAACUUCGUGAUAGCUGGUUCUCUCCGAAAUAUAUUUAGGUAUAGCGUUGUGUCGUAAUAUAAGGGGGUAGAGCACUGAAUGGGCUAGGGCAUACACCAAUGUACCAAACCCUAUCAAACUCCGAAUACCUUAUAUGUAAUCACAGCAGUCAGGCGGCGAGUGAUAAAAUCCGUCGUCAAGAGGGAAACAACCCAGACUACCAGCUAAGGUCCCUAAAUCUUACUUAAGUGGAAAACGAUGUGAAGUUACUUAAACAACCAGGAGGUUGGCUUAGAAGCAGCCAUCCUUUAAAGAAAGCGUAAUAGCUCACUGGUCUAGUGAUUUUGCGCGGAAAAUAUAACGGGGCUAAAGUAAGUACCGAAGCUGUAGACUUAGUUUACUAAGUGGUAGGAGAGCGUUCUAUUUGCGUCGAAGGUAUACCGGUAAGGAGUGCUGGAGCGAAUAGAAGUGAGCAUGCAGGCAUGAGUAGCGAUAAUUAAUGUGAGAAUCAUUAACGCCGUAAACCCAAGGUUUCCUACGCGAUGCUCGUCAUCGUAGGGUUAGUCGGGUCCUAAGUCGAGUCCGAAAGGGGUAGACGAUGGCAAAUUGGUUAAUAUUCCAAUACCAACAUUAGUGUGCGAUGGAAGGACGCUUAGGGCUAAGGGGGCUAGCGGAUGGAAGUGCUAGUCUAAGGUCGUAGGAGGUUAUACAGGCAAAUCCGUAUAACAAUACUCCGAGAACUGAAAGGCUUUUUGAAGUCUUCGGAUGGAUAGAAGAACCCCUGAUGCCGUCGAGCCAAGAAAAGUUUCUAAGUUUAGCUAAUGUUGCCCGUACCGUAAACCGACACAGGUGGGUGGGAUGAGUAUUCUAAGGCGCGUGG